UCUACCGCCACCCAAGCCACCUGGGUGGACCGGGUGGGGGAGCGGUCGGGCAGCGACGGGGCGUUGAGAUUCCGGGCCCGACCCCCGCCCCAGCUUGCUUACGAAGGCGGGAGAAAUGAGACCCCAGAUGCCUGGAAACCCAGGCCAAGCCUGUUUAGAGAAACCACAACGGGGAGCUCUCCGCGCAGAGCCCGCGCCGGAAGAGGCCGGAGGCUGGGAGGUUCGCAAACCCAGGCCCGGAGCCCGCCCGGGACGCCUCUCCCUGAGGAUCCAGGGCCAAACCAAACAGCAAGUACAAUUCUGAGAACUGUGGAACUUCAUCCUUGCAUUUUAGAUUCUCCUGCCUGUGCUUGAUGGAGUCGUGUAUUUAAAUCUUGCAGUCACCACCGGGAAGUGAGCUGUAUCAUCUUGAGAAAUCAGACCACAGAGACGGGCCUGCAGCUGGCAGGCUGGGUCAUCUUUAAUCGCUUAACCCUUCAUAUCAAAGGAUGGUUUGUAGCAGCAGAUUCUUCCUCAAGAAAUUGCCAUGGCAGAUUUGCUCAAGGAAAAGCUGUAAUGCCCUACUAAACUGACUCUGGACUCGGCCAUGUGAUUUACUUUAGUCAAUGGAACAAAAUCAAAUGUGAUGCAAACAGAGAUCUGGAAAACAAUUGCACAAUGACGUUGUCUUCUCCUGCUGUCUUUGGAAACCCUCAGCCACCACCAUGUCAAUAAACCCAGGCUCGCCUGCCAGAGACCUCUGGUCUAAUUACCCCAUCACCAGACAUGAGAAUGAGGCCAUCCUAGACCAAGCAGCCCCCUUCUCUCCUGUGAACUCACGCAGCUGUGGAAGGGACCCUGGAGGAGACCAGCAGAAGAACCAGCCUGCUGAGCCCAGCCCAGAUUGCUAUAGAA